ACACCUCAACUCUUCACGGCUCGCCGUGAUGAGCUUGGACUUUGGGGGUCUUGUUGGCCUGUGAGCCAGCUCCUCUUAAAUGAAUUAGCUUGCCGGUGUUUGGUGGCAUCACAGGUGUGAUAACUAUCUACGCUUGUGGUUUCCCAUCAGGUGACCUUCAGCGAUGGAGGUUCGCUGGGGCUUAUAAACAUCUCUCCUCGGUGAGGACAGAUUUUGACC
rnacentral:misc_RNA from 1 species